rnacentral:lncRNA from 1 species
AGCUGGGACUAGAGGCAUGCACCAACGUGCCUGGCUCUAGAUAAUUAUUGUUUUAUAUUGUUUGACUUUUCUAGUAAUCUACACCUGCUCAUCAUUCCUGGCUUACUCUCUAUUUUCCAGUUUGUCUAGCUCUUUCAUGACUUUGGAUCAGUAGGUACAUGAUUCUUUCUGCCUGGAAUAUUCUUCUACAUUCCACCUCCACUCCCCUUUUCAGUUAUCUUCUAUUCGUCUUUCAAGUCCUGGCUUAGGCCUCUGCUGUGGUUUGAAUGUGCUCCCCAAAUUUCAUAUAUUGGAAAUUUAUUCCCCAAAUUCAUGUUGGUUGGAGGUAGGGCUUUGGGAGGUCAUUAAGAUUAGAUAAGGUUAUCAGGGUGGGGGCCCGUGAUGGGACUGUUCAGGCUUUAUAAAAUGAGGAAGAGAAAUAUCUGAGCUGACAUGCAUGCUCUUUCUUUUCAUCAUGUGAUGUUUUCUGCCACGUUAUGAUCCAGCAAGAAGGCCUUCGCCAAAUGCUGGUAUUAUGCUC